UUCUACAUUGUUUAUGAAACUUACGACACUGUUUAUGAAACUUACUUCACUGUUUAUGAAAACUUACGACAUUGUUUAUGAAAUUUAAUACACUGUUUAUGAAACUUAACAAUAUUACACUACUGUGUUGUGUUUGUAACCCGGCCCACUCUCUUUUCUUCCCCUUUUCUUUCUUCUUUUCCUUUUCCCCAAUGAACACUCCAGAACUCUCUCUCUUUUCGAACUCUCUGCCUUCUCUCUAAACCACCAUAGCCAAAAAGAACUCCAAGCACCAUCACCACAAAUUCCAAUUUAAUUGAGACCUCAAACAACCAAAUACAAGACCUGCGCAAGCUGGGGAUCCCUAUGGUACCAAUGCAUAUUAAAUUCUGUAAUGGGAAGUAGGAUAAUCCAAGCAAGGUUUCUCGGUGAGAGUUUCUCUAAUGGAAUCGAGCUACAACCUUUGAAAAGAGGAGGACCCAAGAAAUAGGCCACCGACAGAGGCAGGCAGGCAUGGAGCAGCGACCGAAGGAAGAUAAAGUGAUACCAGGAUUGAUGACUUGAGCGUUACAGGAUUUGUAGCAGACACAGCAAGACAAGGCGCGGCAAAAACGACUGAUGUCGCGGAGGACCUGGUUAACUUGGCAAGGGAGACAAAUAAUGUUGCAUGGGGUUCUGCCAAGAACACUACCCGGAAGGUCACUGACACUUUGGUUGCUGAGGCUAAUGAGAACGUCGUUGAUACAGCUGAGUAUAGAACUAUUGAAGAUCUGAGUACGUUCGCAGAUCAGAAUGACCACCAUCAGAAGGAUCACAUUUGAUCAGGCAUGAGAAUGUAACAUGAGACUUGAUAAAUAGGGCUUUUAAUUA